CAUAUUAAAUAUACAAUUAUAUUUUUUUUUUUCACAUUUUAAAAUAUGUUAUUUGAAAUUCAGUGCUGAUGAUGCACAAAAAUUGUUAGUGAGUUGAUUGUCUACAUGCGCACCUAUUAGGAUACUUGAAGAAUAAGACAACAAAGAACCAACAGAAAGUACUGGUGGGGUGUCAGCCAAAGACCCUUCAAAGGUUAAAUUAGCAAUAGAAAAAUCUCCCAGAAUUCCAAAGUAUGAGCUCUAGGAAAUUUUACGUAUCUUGGGGGAGAAGAGGUUUGAUGCUUAUAUAGUGGGGUGGAUUUAGCUGAGAUCCCUUGGAACGCGAGGUCUUUCCUUGUAGAGAAGAUCUUGGAGUUGAGGCUUUGGGAUUCUAGGGAUUUCCUUUUCAUAUCGAUAAGAUACGAACGUGAAUAGGGUCUUUGGAUGUGGUGUGCAAGUUAUUUCCAUGUAGGGAUUUAUGAGUGGAGAACACGUAGAGGUUUGUGGAGCCCAACAUAUUCAAUCAUUGGGUUCAUGCAAAUCCAUCAGUCAGUUUUGGCGUCAUCCCUCUAUCGCGCUAUACUUUAAACCUAUCCGUCGGUUUUUAUGCACCUACCACUCGUUAAGACUAAUUGCCAGGUAUCUGACGGAUCUCAUGGAGGUGUAGGAUGUCUAUCCUGAUGAAUAAUCAGGCGAGGUGUUUUUAUCUUGUUAGAUCGAAGAUUUUAAGAGAAACAUUUAUGCCGAAAAGUUCCUUAUCAAUUGCCAAACACAUUUUUUGCAUUAUGAAUAUUUUAAACGCAUGUUUUCACAAUACUUUUUAAACCAUAUUUAUUGCAUUAUGAUUGUUACUUCUCUGUUCCAGCUCAAGAAUCUGCUUGAUGUAAAGGGAUUUGUGUCCAUUUUUCUAAUCAAUGGGCUUAAUGGUGUUCAUGACAAUCUUGUGUUUAAUUAGCUAGCACAGACUCCAAGCUAUUGUUAGAUAUUUUGGCCUCCACCAACAUGGCUUUGGACAGAACCAUGUUCAUCUAGAUGCUGAUCAUUCACAAUUGAUGUAUACUACUUGUUAUAAGGAAAAGGGUUUUGAAGGAGAUAAAGAGGAGACUAUCAAAGCUUGAGCACAAGUUGAACUGUGUGGUUUGUACAAUCUAUUCAUGGGCUACCCUCUUAAGUCCAAUUCAGCUCUGAAUUAGGUGUAACAGUUAUGUUAUUAUGGAGGAAUGCAAGCACUAAAGCAGAUUAAUUGAUGUGUGUAAUGUGAUAACUAAAUUGUUUCACACAAAAUAUGGACUUACUCAGGAUUGUUGAUUUCAUUCAUAUUGUUUAGAAAAUGAUCCAUGUAUCUUGGAGAA